rnacentral:rRNA from 2 species
UGGGGAAUAUUGCACAAUGGGGGAAACCCUGAUGCAGCGACGCCGCGUGAGUGAAGAAGUAUUUCGGUAUGUAAAGCUCUAUCAGCAGGGAAGAUAAUGACAGUACCUGACUAAGAAGCCCCGGCUAACUACGUGCCAGCAGCCGCGGUAAUACGUAGGGGGCAAGCGUUAUCCGGAUUUACUGGGUGUAAAGGGAGCGUAGACGGAAUGGCAAGUCUGAAGUGAAAUACCCGGGCUCAACCUGGGAACUGCUUUGGAAACUGUUGUUCUAGAGUGUUGGAGAGGUAAGUGGAAUUCCUGGUGUAGCGGUGAAAUGCGUAGAUAUCAGGAAGAACACCGGAGGCGAAGGCGGCUUACUGGACAAUAACUGACGUUGAGGCUCGAAAGCGUGGGGAUCAAACA